rnacentral:rRNA from 1 species
UACGUAUGGAGCAAGCGUUAUCCGGAUUUACUGGGUGUAAAGGGAGUGUAGGUGGUAGCACAAGUCAGAAGUGAAAGCCCGGGGCUCAACCCCGGGACUGCUUUUGAAACUGUGGAACUAGAGUGCAGGAGAGGUAAGUGGAAUUCCUAGUGUAGCGGUGAAAUGCGUAGAUAUUAGGAGGAACACCAGUGGCGAAGGCGGCUUACUGGACUGUAACUGACACUGAGGCUCGAAAGCGUGGGGAGCAAACAGG